GGACAACAUCUCCAGAGGUUUACAGUCAAGAGCAAGUCCAGCAAACAGGGAUGGACUGGUCAGCAUGAUGAGGCUGAAAUGGACGAGUAGCUCAAGGCAAGGCAGUAUGUGGGUGCUAAAUGUAGAGAGUGUCCUUAACUCGAUGGCUAGACAGCUGCGUGUUUCCCUGGAGAAAUAUCCAAGACAGGAGCAUGAUGGUGGUCUUUCAUCCUCCCCAACCAGACGGAAGCUGCCUUCUCAUCAUUUAGCUUUGACAUUAAUGUGAUCUGCCAAAAUCUCACACCACAGGUCAAUAGGUCACCCAGUCCCACUCGGAUCUGGCUGAUACAUCACAAAACCAACCGUGCAUUGAUCUACAUCAGAAGAUUUAGAAGAGUAUUUGUCAGAGCUGUUUGGCUUGUUAAUGGUGUAGAAUUGUCCACAGUGCAGAGUCAUGGCUUUGUCACUAAGCACAUUACUGAGGCAUGUUGUUGUGUCUGCUUUUCACUCUAACUGCUGAAAAUAAAGACUGUUUUGUCUGAU